rnacentral:rRNA from 1 species
GGCGGCAGGCUUAACACAUGCAAGUCAAGCGGAAACGAUGAUAGCUUGCUAUCAGGCGUCGAGCGGCGGACGGGUGAGUAAUACUUAGGAAUCUACCUAGUAGUGGGGGAUAGCUCGGGGAGACUCGAAUUAAUACCGCAUACGUCCUACGGGAGAAAGGGGGCAACUUGUUGCUCUCGCUAUUAGAUGAGCCUAAGUCAGAUUAGCUAGAUGGUGGGGUAAAGGCCUACCAUGGCGACGAUCUGUAGCUGGUCUGAGAAGAUGAUCAGCCACACCGGGACUGAGACACGGCCCGGACUCCUACGGGAGGCAGCAGUGGGGAAUAUUGGACAAUGGGGGGAACCCUGAUCCAGCCAUGCCGCGUGUGUGAAGAAGGCCUUUUGGUUGUAAAGCACUUUAAGCAGUGAAGAAGACUCUUCGGUUAAUACCCGGGGACGAUGACAUUAGCUGCAGAAUAAGCACCGGCUAACUCUGUGCCAGCAGCCGCGGUAAUACAGAGGGUGCAAGCGUUAAUCGGAAUUACUGGGCGUAAAGCGAGCGUAGGUGGCUUGAUAAGUCAGAUGUGAAAUCCCCGGGCUUAACCUGGGAACUGCAUCUGAAACUGUUAGGCUAGAGUAGGUGAGAGGGAAGUAGAAUUCCAGGUGUAGCGGUGAAAUGCGUAGAGAUCUGGAGGAAUACCGAUGGCGAAGGCAGCUUCCUGGCAUCAUACUGACACUGAGGCUCGAAAGCGUGGGUAGCAAACAGGAUUAGAUACCCUGGUAGUCCACGCCGUAAACGAUGUCUACUAGUCGUUGGGUCCCUUGAGGACUUAGUGACGCAGCUAACGCAAUAAGUAGACCGCCUGGGGAGUAC